AUUGAACGCUGGCGGCAGGCCUAACACAUGCAAGUCGAGCGGAUGAAGGGAGCUUGCUCCUGGAUUCAGCGGCGGACGGGUGAGUAAUGCCUAGGAAUCUGCCUGGUAGUGGGGGAUAACGUCCGGAAACGGGUGCUAAUACCGCAUACGUCCUGAGGGAGAAAGUGGGGGAUCUUCGGACCUCACGCUAUCAGAUGAGCCUAGGUCGGAUUAGCUAGUUGGUGGGGUAAAGGCCUACCAAGGCGACGAUCCGUAACUGGUCUGAGAGGAUGAUCAGUCACACUGGAAAUGAGACACGGUCCAGACUCCUACGGGAGGCAGCAGUGGGGAAUAUUGGACAAUGGGCGAAAGCCUGAUCCAGCCAUGCCGCGUGUGUGAAGAAGGUCUUCGGAUUGUAAAGCACUUUAAGUUGGGAGGAAGGGCAGUAAGUUAAUACCUUGCUGUUUUGACGUUACCAACAGAAUAAGCACCGGCUAACUUCGUG
rnacentral:rRNA from 1 species